UACGUAGGGUGCAAGCGUUGUCCGGAAUUAUUGGGCGUAAAGGGCUCGUAGGCGGUUUGUCGCGUCGGGAGUGAAAACACCGGGCUUAACUCGGUGCUUGCUUUCGAUACGGGCAGACUUGAGGCAUGCAGGGGAGAACGGAAUUCCUGGUGUAGCGGUGAAAUGCGCAGAUAUCAGGAGGAAUACCGGUGGCGAAGGCGGCAUCCUGGACCGGCAUUGACGCUGAGGAGCGAAAGCCAGGGGAGCAAACGGG
rnacentral:rRNA from 1 species